GGGCCACCUGAACUUGACCCUCAGGGCAGAUAUCCUAGAGUUCCAAGGAAGGCCCAGGCUGGGCCAAGAAGCCACCUCCAGAAUGCUGUUGUGGUGACACAGAGCACGCAGGGAAGUGGGAGAAGCUGAGAAGGUGAAGCCGCUAAUGAUGUAACUUGCAGAUCCCUGCUGGAUCAACUCAUUUCUCUGUGCAGAAGAUCAGCCACUGUUCAAGGAAUAUAGAGCCCCACUCAGGGCCAAGGAGAGGCUCCAGAAAAAUCACAAACACAAGAAUGUGUGUGAGGUACUGGAUAAAGCUGAGCAUGCUGUCCCAGGCAUGGGGCCUUCUCACCGGUUCUCUGAAGCCACCCCCUCCUUUAUGCCUUGAGGCUGCUUGCUGAUGCCAGGAGUAAAAGAAAUGACUCCUGCCCCUCUGUCUGUGUCUCUCUGUCUCUCUGUCUGUGUCCACCCUCCCCCCCACCCCCCAAAUCUGUCU
ensembl:lincRNA Gm13431 predicted gene 13431